AGAGGUGAGGUUAAUACAAGUCCUCAAAAGAGCACCCUGAUGUUUCCUUUACAGUGUUUGCUCUACUUGUAAAAUAUUAGCAAUGUCACUCAAGUCUGCAAGACAUAUUUUGCAUUUGGAUACUUGGAAAAUACAUGGUGACCUUUUGGGUGCUUUUUAAAGUUUAAUGUUAACGAUUCUCUCCCAACUUAACAUAGCACAUGCAGCAGAGUUCCAGUGGUAGACCACAACGACAUUUCUAUCCAAGCCAGAGUCAUUGGAGCACAUACUAUCUGGAAGCAGGAACAGUGGAUAUUCUGCAAGUUUAAAGCAGCCUUGUGCUUCUAUGUCCCCAAUAAACCGAAUCACAUUUGUGCACUUUUUAGUGUCCCAAGCAGAUAUUGGUGUCAGAAUAAGACAUUUGUGCAAAUGACCUCCUAAGGAAUAUCACCAGCCCAUUAUCUGGUUUGGUGCAAAUGAACUCAGUGAUGUUUAUGCUUAGUAUAUAAUGACACUGUAGCCUGGUAUUUCCAAGCAUUAAAUAUGAUGAUAAAGGCUAUUUGGCCCAUCCUGCUUGGCGACUCAUUCAAGAAAUAUAAAUCUCUGUGCUUCAGGGGAGUUUGUAUCAUGGAAGCUGUUUUGCCAGAGGAGUCUAGGUGCUCAGAAGCAUGCUUCAGAAUGUGGUGCUCCACAUGCAAAAAACAAGUGUUUCUCUUUUUGAUAUGAAGCUCACUGAGUGUCUUGAUUCUGCGCUGACAGAGGCAGCAUGAUCAUCAGUGCGUGGAGACUGUCCUUUGAAAUCUCGCUGGCGCUGUGUAUUCUGGCAGAGCAGAGUGAGGCGGAACCUAUAACUCUGUUGGUAUCUUUGGGAGGAAGAGUCAUCAUGCCAUGCAAUAUCUCGCUUACUGAUGGAACCCAAAUAGCUUGGAAGAAAGAAGGGUUACUCUUUUUCAGUUACUUUAACAAUACAACUAUUCAAAACACAACUGACGAAAGAUGGAGACUUGCCCCUACACAGCUGGAGAUUACUGAUGUACGACAAUCUGAUGAAGGGAACUACACCUGCGCUGUAACUACAAUAUCUAAUGUAUAUUUAAGAGAAUGGAGACUUCAGAUCGAAGAAACCAAUUCUUCAGAGACCCAAACAGAGAAGCUUGUUCUCUACAGUGUUCCUCCCAUUGUGGUAUCUUCUGUGUUAGUGGGCAUCUGCUGUGUAGUGGGAAGGCGGUAUCGAACAAAGCAUGAACAAAGUCGCCAUAGCGGCAAUGGAGAGGAUCAACAGGAAAUACCUGAACGCAGUCCAGGAAUAACAAGACCCAACAGAAGCAGCUAUUUUGAAAGACAAAAUUCUGUUUACGAUAUAUAAAGACAUUUUACACAUUCUAAAGUGGGCCCUUGUGAGUUCUAUUUUGAAACUAAGCAAUUUAUUUUCUAUUAAUUGCAAUCGAAGCAAUUGUCUUUACAUGCAAGUGAUGAUUACGUUUCCUUAACCUCAAACUACAUAGAGCUGUAUGCUGGUUUAUUUAAAGCUAAUGUGGUCAACGGAGAAAGGUUGCAGGACAUGCAAAGAGUCUGAAGAUAUGAGUGUAACAGACUUCACAGGUGAAGAAAAUAACUCAAAAACAAAGGUUGAAGAAGUCAAUUUCUUAACUAACAUGAUGGAAAAAUCUUCAGGCAGCGAAUACAGGAUUUGUAUAAUUUAUUUACUGUGGUACAUUUGAGCAAAUCUGGGUUUACAACAGUGUUUAUCAGUUUCCUAGUUCCUAGUUCCAUGUACGAGUUUUUAUUAAAGAGAACCUAUCAUACUGUAUACAGUAUAAGUCAAUAUUUCAAAAACCUCUCUACCUCAGCUUAUUCAAAAAGAGCAACACUAUAAACUUCUAGGUCUGUAAAUCUUCAAAAAGGACCGAAAUAUUUAGAUUAUGUCACUUUUUGAGUGUUUAUAAUUUGUAUCAGAACAAUUAUUUUUAAUUGUCUGCAGAUAUUUUCACAUAUUUUCAAGAAAGAAAUAUGUUCAAAAUUAACAGUUUAGAUGUCAAAGGGUUUACAGUAUGUAGUAUUACUACAUCACAGUCACUGAACUAUGAAUAGCUGUAUCUACAAGGGCAUGUUUAGUGCCCCUGUAGCUGCACAAUCAAGAAAUAGAGAAAAUGAGUUCUUUGGGCAGCUGCUGUUUCUUAACAAGCGAGGAAUUAAAUUAAAAAACAUGCAGCUUUGUUAUAUUAUUAUGUAACAUUAGUAGUUCAGAGGCAGACAUGAUCCUAAAAGAACCAUUCACUGUAAAGAAAUCUCCAGGCUGUUAUGCUUUUCUACCCAUUGUACUUAAGGAAACAGAUGUUAUUCACAGACUGUCAGCAAAAUACUUCCAGUGGUCAUUCAAGAGGGGGUAGUUUUCAGGGGCUGAAGAAUGAAGUGAUCAUCCAUACUGUACAUUAGCAAAACUGAACCUUACAGAGAUGAUGUGGGUUGAUGGCAGUGCGUUCAUUCUCAGAGGAAUCCCCUUUACCACAAGAACGCCUACAGUGCAGAAUGAGGGCGACCUCACUGCCAUGUAACUCAUUGAUCAAGUCCUUGAGACAGAGUUUUUCCACUCCAGCAAAGCGAUUAAGAAUCACCCACCAGGACAAUACAAGACUAUGCAGGGAUAUGACUUCAGAUCUUGCUGGUCUUCCAUUGUCCAGGUUUCACUCUUCCAUCUGUGGAAUCAGCUAAUUGAUGCCAUCAACAGGAGAACACCAUGACCAGCCAGCCCUCACCAGUUUGCUGCAACUGUCUGGAAAGACAGCAGGAAUUUCCCACUGCUGUCCGUACACAUGUAUGUCAGCACUGCCAGGACUGUGUUAAAGCUCUGGGAGAUCAUAUCUACUACAACAUUGUGACGUUUUCACUGGGCCAGUGAGCUUUCGUAAUGAAAACAUACCAUGAGUCCUUGAACUGUAUUGCUUUCGACACUUUCUGUGAUUUAGUUUGGUAGAUACUGUAUGUUUGAGACAUUUGAUUAAAUCCUUUAGAACUGAGGGUAGUGUUUCUUUUGCAGACGUACUGUACAUCUGACACAGUUUGCUGCCAUCUUGUGUUGUAGUUGGUGCAUGAAUUCAUACACACGUGAAAAAGAGAAAUACAGGUUGAAAAUCCUUUAUCCGAAAUUCCCAAAUCCAAAAACCUCCAAAAUCCAAAAGUUUUUUGAAUGCUGACAUGACACGCCAGAAAUGGAAAAUUCCACCAAGCGGGGGGUGAUUCAACCGCGUACAGCUGCUGUGCGCCGCUUUCACCUCCACGUAAAACGCUAUGUUUGAGUGUAACACGACUAGCGUAAUUGUUGCGUUACAAAUAUAAUGUUGACGUUUUCAGUUUUCAUUACAUUUACCUGUAAUCAAAUUCCAUGUUUUCUUUUUUUUCAAAAAUCUUUAUGUACUGUAACCUUUUAAUAAAAAAACGACUUCGUAGGUAGAUACUGAUGACUUACCGAACUUUCCAGCUCACAGUGAUGUCAUCGAUGACGUACCCUCUCCUUCAAGUUUCUCGGACCUGAUGUAGUUGUAAUGUCUGAGGCUGCAUUUAUCUUCAAGAUUUUAAGCAGUGAUCAUCAUAUUGUUUUUUUGUUUUUGUACAGUAAGUACAAAACGUUAUUUUUACGUGAGAUCUGAAUUUCACCUCCAUGUAUGAGUGUAACUUGACUAGCGUCAUUACUUGUUCAUUACUUUAAAAAUAAAAUGCUGACUUUUCCAGUUUUCAUUUUA